UCCUCUCCUUUUCACCUCCCAUCAAUAUUGGUUCCCAGAACUCCUAAGUGUUGGUACUGGCAGUACAAUAACUAAGCUUUCACAAAUGGCACCACUAUAUGUAUUAUCAGUUACUACUAUUAAUCUAACUCCAUUCUUUUGUUAGUAUGACAAUAUGAACAAAAUAUCUUACAGAGAAACGAUUCUAAUUCAUUCUAUAAGCUCCACCAUGAUGAAAUUAUAAACUAGAAUCACAAUAAUUUCAGAAACAAACGAUCACAAUAAUUUCAGAAACAAACGAUCCGCAUCAUGGCAUUGAAGAAUAAUAAUAUUGUUUCUUUCCCUAGUAAUAGAGUUAGAGCAUAGGACUAUAGCAUAGGACUAUCUUUCUACAGGAACACAAUAAAUCAAUAGCAGUUGGGUCUUUAAGUUUCAACAUUAUAUAUGUUCAAAUUAGUAAGUGGUAAUGACAAUCAGCUUAAGCAAACAAAAAAAAAAAAAAGAUACAAGCAACAAAGUUAGAAACCUUAC
rnacentral:lncRNA from 1 species